UACGGAGGGGGCUAGGCGUUGUUCGGAAUUACUGGGCGUAAAGCGCACGUAGGCGGCUUUGUAAGUUAGAGGUGAAAGCCCGGGGCUCAACUCCGGAAUUGGCCUUUUAAGACGUGCAUCGCUUGAACGUCGGAGAGGUGAGUGGAAUUCCGAGUGUAGAGGUGAAAUUCGUAGAUAUUCGGAAGAACACCAGUGGCGAAGGCGGUCUCACUGGACGACUGUGACGCUGAGGUGCGAAGCGUGGGGAGCAAACAGG
rnacentral:rRNA from 1 species